rnacentral:lncRNA from 1 species
CUGACAUGAGUGCUAGUGCCAACUCCUCCAAUGCAGGGAAUGCUCCUCCACCAUAGAAGUCUGAGCCUAGACACUUGACAGCAGGAAGCAUCAAUUGGAGAACCUUAAGAUGUGGUAACUGCCCGAGUGCUGGAAGGCACUUUACAGCAGGAAGCAUGAUCAAUUGGAGGACCUGAAGACUCUGUAGUUGCUCUAAUGUAGAUGCUCAUAUCUAACACAAGCUGUCAGAGAUAGCCCGGCCAC